rnacentral:rRNA from 1 species
GACGAACGCUGGCGGCGUGCUUAACACAUGCAAGUCGUACGGUAAGGCCCUUUCGGGGGUACACGAGUGGCGAACGGGUGAGUAACACGUGAGUAACCUGCCCACAACUUUGGGAUAACGCUAGGAAACUGGUGCUAAUACUGGAUAUGUGCUCCAGCUGCAUGGUGGGGGUUGGAAAGCUCCGGCGGUUGUGGAUGGACUCGCGGCCUAUCAGCUUGUUGGUGGGGUAGUGGCCUACCAAGGCGGCGACGGGUAGCCGGCCUGAGAGGGUGACCGGCCACAUUGGGACUGAGAUACGGCCCAGACUCCUACGGGAGGCAGCAGUGGGGAAUAUUGCACAAUGGGCGCAAGCCUGAUGCAGCAACGCCGCGUGCGGGAUGACGGCCUUCGGGUUGUAAACCGCUUUCAGCAGGGACGAAGCUUUUUGUGACGGUACCUGCAGAAGAAGCACCGGCUAACUACGUG